GUGUAAGCUUAUAUGUUUCGAUUUAGAUGGGAUCCUGUUCAGACUUCAUAGGACUGUAAAUGAAUAUUGCAACCUAAACGUUGAAAACGGGGUUGCAGGAGAGCAAUAAAAGCGUCAUGAUGCUAGGCGAAGCAGUGAAGUGUCAAACCCUAGAUGGCGAUAGUCCAGUAGCCGAAAGCAUCACUAGCUUACGCUUUCACUCGUGUAGCAUGGGGCACGUGGAAUCCUGUGUGAAUCAGCAAGGACCACCUUGCAAGGCUAAAUACUCUUGGGUAACCGAUGGCGAAGUAGUACCGUGAGGGAAGGGUGAAAAGAACCCCUGUCGGAGAGUGAAAUAGAACAUGAAAC
rfam:Gossypium raimondii Chr03_contig_763, whole genome shotgun sequence.